GCCGUUGCUAUGGUAAUCCUUUUAAGUAUGAGAGGAACCGCAGGUUCAGAUAAUUGGUAUAUCUACCUGGUCGAAAGGCCAAUGGCGCGAAGCUACUAUCUGAGGGAUCAAGACCGAACACCUCUAAGUCUGAAUGCCGUCUAUAUUUGCAGAGGU
rnacentral:ncRNA from 1 species